CAAAUUAAAAAGAUAGUACCACAAGAGGAAGAGACGGCUAACUCUGUGCCAGCAGCCGCGGUAAUACAGAGGUCUCAAGCGUUGUUCGGAAUCACUGGGCGUAAAGCGUGCGUAGGCUGUUUCGUAAGUCGUGUGUGAAAGGCGCGGGCUCAACCCGCGGACGGCACAUGAUACUGCGAGACUAGAGUAAUGGAGGGGGAACCGGAAUUCUCGGUGUAGCAGUGAAAUGCGUAGAUAUCGAGAGGAACACUCGUGGCGAAGGCGGGUUCCUGGACAUUAACUGACGCUGAGGCACGAAGGCCAGGGGAGCGAAA
rnacentral:rRNA from 1 species